rnacentral:rRNA from 1 species
GACGAACCGAGCGAACGUUGUUCGGAAUCACUGGGCUUAAAGGGCGCGUAGGCGGGCUGCCGCGUCCGGGGUGAAAUCCUCCGGCUCAACCGGGGAAGGGCCUCGGGUACGGGCGGCCUCGAGGGGGGUAGGGGCGUGCGGAACUGUGGGUGGAGCGGUGAAAUGCGUAGAUAUCGGAAGGAACGCCGGUGGCGAAAGCGACGGACUGGAUCUCAUCUGACGCUGAGGCGCGAAAGCUAGGGUAGCGAACGGG